GAGAUUGAGACCAUCCUGGCUAACACGGUGAAACCCCGUCUCUACUAAAAAUACAAAAAAAUUAGCCGGGCGUGGCGGCGGGCGCCUGUAGUCCCAGCUACUUGGGAGGCUGAGGCAGGAGAAUGGUGCGAACCCGGGAGGCAGAUUUUGCAGAGAGCCGAGAUCGUGCCACUGCACUCCAGCCUGGGCGACAGAGCAAGACUCCGUCUCAAAACAAAAAACAAACAAACAAAUAUGGAGCAUUCUGAUAUGAAUAAGACACUUGCUCACUUCUCAAUUCCUUGGUGUCCAGCUCUACAAGUGUAUAUAGACUUCCAAAGAAUAUUUAAAUCCUUUAACAAAAAUGCCACCUAAGAAAAUAUGAAAUACUUCAGUCUGUCUGUCAGUGCUCACUUCCUGUCUAGAAACUUUCAGGCUCCGGCACAAAUGAACCAUGUUCUUCGCCUAAGUCAUUUAUGGAACAUCUGCUUUCGGUUUAGCAUCAGCUUUGUGACCUAGUAAUAUCUUUCUCGAGUGCAUGAAACAUCUCAGAAAUGCAAACAUCAAGGAAGAUACUAAUCCUUUCUUCCAGUUUCUGUGUGAGGGUUGGAGGCUGACUUUGGUGGUGAUCUUGCUCCAAAUUAUAGAACUACAUCCUGUCAUGAAGAGAAGUUUGUCUUCUCGAUAAAGCCAAGUAGCUAACAGAGAUGGUCACCCCAAUUACCAGAUGGACAUAAUUAUACUUGAAUGCUGACCUACAACAUUUUGUGCUGUGCAGAGGCUUUGAAAAUCAAACAACUUUGAAAAUACAAAGCACCGCGUGGAUACAGGGCCUCACUCUGUCGCUCAGGCUGGAGUGGCACGAUCUUGGCUCACUGCAGUCUCUGCCUCCUCCUCUUGGAUGCAAGCAAUUCGGCCUCCAAGUAGCUGAGAUUACAGGUGCGUGCCACCACACUCUGCUAAUUUCUGCAUUUUUAGUAGAGAUGGGGUUUCACCAUGUUGGCCAGACUGGUCUCCAACUCCUGGCCUCAAGUGAUCCACUUGCCUCAGCCACCCAAAGUUCUGGAUUACAGGCGUGAGCCAUUGCGCCUGGCCUAGUAAACAUAUUUUUUUUAAAUAAAAAUGUUAUUUUAUCAUUUACAUAAGAUCAAAAACAUGUCUAUUGGAUUCCACCGCCCAGAUCCUUACACUGUACAUUCUAUUUUGCCUCAAAUUUGACUCUCUUCACUUGCUUUUAAGCUCUGGAUGAGUUUGAUUCCAACUAGUUCAAAAGAAAAAUGGAGCAUCCCAAAAGAACAUAAAACUAAUAAAAAUCAACUUGUUUAUGAAUCUAAAAUGAUAAAAAGCAAUACAUUUAAAAUAAAGGUUACUUUUAAAACAUGAUUUCAUGUCUCAAUUUUUCCAACUACUUGGAGAUUCUUCUAGUAUUAGCAUGCCAUUAUUAUUAGGCUUGACUGCCU
rnacentral:lncRNA from 1 species